rnacentral:rRNA from 1 species
CAGCAGCCGCGGUAAAACGUAGGUGGCAAGCGUUGUCCGGAAUUAUUGGGCGUAGAGCGCGCGCAGGCGGAUAGGUCAGUCUGUCUUGAAAGUUCGGGGCUUAACCCCGUGAUGGGAUGGAAACUGCCAAUCUAGAGUAUCGGAGAGGAAAGUGGAAUUCCUAGUGUAGCGGUGAAAUGCGUAGAUAUUAGGAAGAACACCAGUGGCGAAGGCGACUUUCUGGACGAAAACUGACGCUGAGGCGCGAAAGCCAGGGGAGCGAACGGGAUUAGAUACCCCGGUAGUCCCUGUCUCUUAUACA